rnacentral:rRNA from 1 species
CUAAUACAUGCAAGUCGAGCGAAUGGAUUAAGAGCUUGCUCUUAUGAAGUUAGCGGCGGACGGGUGAGUAACACGUGGGUAACCUGCCCAUAAGACUGGGAUAACUCCGGGAAACCGGGGCUAAUACCGGAUAACAUUUUGAACCGCAUGGUUCGAAAUUGAAAGGCGGCUUCGGCUGUCACUUAUGGAUGGACCCGCGUCGCAUUAGCUAGUUGGUGAGGUAACGGCUCACCAAGGCAACGAUGCGUAGCCGACCUGAGAGGGUGAUCGGCCACACUGGGACUGAGACACGGCCCAGACUCCUACGGGAGGCAGCAGUAGGGAAUCUUCCGCAAUGGACGAAAGUCUGACGGAGCAACGCCGCGUGAGUGAUGAAGGCUUUCGGGUCGUAAAACUCUGUUGUUAGGGAAGAACAAGUGCUAGUUGAAUAAGCUGGCACCUUGACGGUACCUAACCAGAAAGCCACGGCUAACUACGUGCCAGCAGCCGCGGUAAUACGUAGGUGGCAAGCGUUAUCCGGAAUUAUUGGGCGUAAAGCGCGCGCAGGUGGUUUCUUAAGUCUGAUGUGAAAGCCCACGGCUCAACCGUGGAGGGUCAUUGGAAACUGGGAGACUUGAGUGCAGAAGAGGAAAGUGGAAUUCCAUGUGUAGCGGUGAAAUGCGUAGAGAUAUGGAGGAACACCAGUGGCGAAGGCGACUUUCUGGUCUGUAACUGACACUGAGGCGCGAAAGCGUGGGGAGCAAACAGGAUUAGAUACCC